CAAAGGGAAGCGAGGCGGCGACGCGGAGCGAAUCCCAAAAAUCGCGCCCCAGUUCGGAUUGUAGUCUGCAACCCGACUACAUGAAGCCGGAAUCGCUAGUAAUCGCGGAUCAGAAUGCCGCGGUGAAUACGUUCCCGGGUCUUGUACACACCGCCCGUCACACCAUGGGAGUCGGGAAUGCCCGAAGUCAGUGACCCAACCUUAGGGAGGGAGCUGCCGAAGGCAGGCCUGGUGACUGGGGUGAAGUCGUAACAAGGUACC
rnacentral:rRNA from 1 species